UACGGAGGAUCCGAGCGUUAUCCGGAUUUAUUGGGUUUAAAGGGAGCGUAGGCGGGUUGUUAAGUCAGUUGUGAAGGUUUGCGGCUCAACCGUAAAAUUGCAGUUGAUACUGGCAUCCUUGAGUACAGUAGAGGUAGGCAGAAUUCGUGGUGUAGCGGUGAAAUGCUUAGAUAUCACGAAGAACUCCGAUUGCGAAGGCAGCCUGCUGGACUGUAACUGACGCUGAUGCUCGAAAGUGUGGGUAUCAAACAGG
rnacentral:rRNA from 1 species